AGAGUUUGAUCCUGGCUCAGAACGAACGCUGGCGGCGUGCUUAAUACAUGCAAGUCGAACGUGAAUCCCGACUUCGGUUGGGAUGAAAGUGGCGAACGGGUGAGUAACACGUAAGUAAUCUGCCUUCAAGUUUGGGAUAACCCUGCCAACGCGGGGCUAAUACCGGAUGUGGUCCAGCUGACACAUGUUGGCUGGAUUAAAGGUCGCGAGGCCGCUUGGAGAUGAGCUUGCGGCCCAUUAGUUAGUUGGUGAGGUAACGGCCCACCAAGACGAAGAUGGGUAGCCGGCCUGAGAGGGUGUACGGCCACAUUGGGACUGAGAUACGGCCCAGACUCCUACGGGAGGCAGCAGUAGGGAAUUUUGCGCAAUGGACGGAAGUCUGACGCAGCAACGCCGCGUGAAGGAUGACGGCCUUCGGGUUGUAAACUUCUGUUGGAUGGGAAAAAAAGCCUAGGAAUAGGAAUUGAUGGUACCAUUCGAGUAAGCACCGGCUAACUACGUGCCAGCAGCCGCGGUAAUACGUAGGGUGCGAGCGUUGUUCGGAAUCACUGGGCGUAAAGGGAGCGUAGGCGGGAUCGUAAGUUAGGAGUUUAAUACAUGGGCUCAACCCGUGAUAUGCUUUUAAUACUGCGGUUCUUGAGUAUGGGAGAGGGUGAUGGAAUUCCAGGUGUAGCGGUGGAAUGCGUAGAUAUCUGGAAGAACACCAGUAGCGAAGGCGGUCACCUGGCCCAAUACUGACGCUGAGGCUCGAAAGCUGGGGGAGCAAACAGGAUUAGAUACCCUGGUAGUCCCAGCCGUAAACGAUGGACACUAGUUGCCGGGAGAGUCAAUCCUUUCGGUGACGAAGCUAACGCAUUAAGUGUCCCGCCUGGGAAGUACGCCCGCAAGGGUGAAACUCAAAUGAAUUGACGG
rnacentral:rRNA from 1 species